rnacentral:lncRNA from 1 species
CUUUGAUUUUUUGAAGUGUGAUGUUUUUAUAAGUGAAUAUGCUAUGCUAUUGAGCAUUUUUCUUUCAGGAGCAAUCUUCCAUUUUGACUGGUAUUGAUUGAAAACUAGUUCUUUGCUUACACAUUUACAUGGUGACAAUUGGAUUUUUUUUUUUUUUUUUUUACGAUUAGAUUCUGGUUUCCUGUGCUUCAAACUUGGUUUCUCCUUCAUCCUGGAUACUUCCAGAGCCGGGGACCACUCAUAUGAUAAUGCCAGAGCUUGGUACUCAUAUAGAAGACAAAAACCAAGGCAAUUAACUCUUGAGAAAUUGCAUCGCCAAAUAUUGCUCUGUGAAACUGUCAAUGCGUGAAUCUUUUUCUGAAGGUAUGGCCCCUUGGUUGACUGACGUUAGCUGAAGCUGGAUCUACCUUACUGCACAGAGAUCUGUCCUGUUCUGUAGACACUGCGAGCCAUCAGGGUGAAGAAGAGGCCAAUCGUGUCUGAGUCUGUAACUGAGACCGAAAAUGGUUCUGAUGAGUUUGUGACCUGAUAGGACAAAAUGGCCCAGAAAUUGGUAGCUCAAGCUCUUUAAAAGUUUUGACUACAAGGUGAUUAUCUGCCUACCUCUCCUUGAACUAGCCUGUCCUAUAUUAAUAGCCUCACCAACGUCUUUCUUCAUCUACCUUCUUUGUGUUGCAAGGUAAAAAAAAAAAAUUGAUGAAAGAGAUACAUUUGUCCAAGUUAGGAUGCUUCAAGUAGUUUCUCUUCUUGAUUUGCUUUCUGGCAUCCUAUGGAAUGUAAUCACCUGGAAUGUGUGUGAAGGUUAGAGCACCUAUCUAUAAAAAUAUGCCCAGC